rnacentral:lncRNA from 1 species
CACACGCCUGAGGAGCUCAACACUCUUGUACCACACUGGUGACCAGCAGACGCAUCGAUGGCACAGCGAGGAACCCAGCAGCUGAAGGCAGAGCAAGAACCACUGGAAUCAUCAAUGGAGACUUGGAGGGAAGAGAGGGUCCAGCACCUCAGAGAAGCCCUGGCAGAGAAGGAGGAGCAGCUCAGCAGGGCAGUGAAGAGGCGACACAUGAGGACUGUGGCCGAUGUGGAGACCCUGACCCAGCUGAACACCUCACAAGCUGCUCUGAAGGAGAGCAACCUCAAAUGUGCUUCUCUGGAGGAAACCCUCCACAGUCAGCAGCAGGAGAAAGAGGAGCGACAUAAGAGAGAGCUGAUGGAGCAGGAGGAAGGCUUCAAUAAGAAGCUCCUUAUGAUCAAGGAGGAAUUUGUGAGGAAGCUCGAGGAAGAGAAGCACAGAUCUAAUGAAGAGGAAGAGGCCUUGAGGCAGCAGCUCUUUCUAAAAGACGACAAGUUCAAGAAACUUCUUGAGGAAGAGCAACACAAAUAUCAUGAAAAGAUCUUUGAAAAAGAGGAGUCAAUGAAGCAGCAGCUGUUGACUCAAGAGGAGACCCAUAACAAGAUGCUGGCUGAUGUUUGUCAGCGGUGGGAGACGACAUCUCAAAAAUGGGUCCAGAUGAGGGAAGAGCUGGAGCAGAAGGUCCUGGAGAGCCAACGGUUGAGGCAAGAGGAGCAGGAGAGGACCAAAGAGGAGCUCCAGAGGCUCUCUGAAGCAAUCCUCCAACUUGAGCUUCAAGUAUUAAAGAAAAAGAAGAAGAAAAGCUUCUGGAGAUGGAUCUCCAAAAAGAUGAGGUUCUGGAAAAGAUAGUGAAGAACAAUUCCAGAGCUCCCAAAGCCGCCCUCCUCCUCCUCCUCCUCCUCCUCCUCCUCCUCCCCCUCCUCCUCCUCCUCCACAUCCUGACUUCCACAGCGUCACAUUCAAGAUUCAAGAUGUACUUUAUUCAUCCUCGUAGGGGAAUUGAAUUGUAGAAGCAGCCUAACGUGGAUUAAUAUAACUGUAGCGCAGGUUUUGUAUUUACAAAGUAUAGAAAUAGAAUAAAUAAAUACAAAUAAGAUUAGAAUGUUAUAAGUAUGUAUACAGCAUAUAGUAUAAGAAUAUAUAUAAUAUUUACAUAAUAUAAUAUAUGCAUAUUAUAAGCAUUAUAAGCAUAUAUACAUAAAUAUAGAAAAAAUAGAAAUAAAAUUACAACAUAAAUAUUACAAUUAUUGUUAUUGGCUGGGUUUGGAUGAAUUAUAGAGUUUAAUGGCGGCCGGCAGGAAUGACUUCCUGUACCGUUCCUUAGAGCAUCCUGUCUUUAUCAGUUUUAUUUUACAGUAUAAUCAUUGUUUAUGUUCUAUGUUUGGAUCUGUGAUGUCGAAACAAUAAAACUCAAAGUAAACCACCAGAUUGUAGAUGUUGUCAA